AAUCCAUAGGUUAAUGAGGCGAACCGGGGGAACUGAAACAUCUAAGUACCCCGAGGAAAAGAAAUCAACCGAGAUUCCCCCAGUAGCGGCGAGCGAACGGGGAGGAGCCCAGAGCCUGAAUCAGCAUGUGUGUUAGUGGAAGCGUCUGGAAAGGCGCGCGAUACAGGGUGACAGCCCCGUACACAAAAGCGCAUGUGCUGUGAGCUCGAUGAGUAGGGCGGGACACGUGGUAUCCUGUCUGAAUAUGGGGGGACCAUCCUCCAAGGCUAAAUACUCCUGACUGACCGAUAGUGAACCAGUACCGUGAGGGAAAGGCGAAAAGAACCCCGGCGAGGGGAGUGAAAAAGAACCUGAAACCGUGUACGUACAAGCAGUGGGAGCACCCUUUGGGUGUGACUGCGUACCUUUUGUAUAAUGGGUCAGCGACUUAUAUUCUGUAGCAAGGUUAACCGAAUAGGGGAGCCGGAGGGAAACCGAGUCUUAACCGGGCGUUAAGUUGCAGGGUAUAGACCCGAAACCCGGUGAUCUAGCCAUGGGCAGGUUGAAGGUUGGGUAACACUAACUGGAGGACCGAACCGACUAAUGUUGAAAAAUUAGCGGAUGACCUGUGGCUGGGGGUGAAAGGCCAAUCAAACCGGGAGAUAGCUGGUUCUCCCCGAAAGCUAUUUAGGUAGCGCCUCGUGAAUUCAUCUCCGGGGGUAGAGCACUGUUUCGGCUAGGGGGCCAUCCCGGCUUACCAACCCGAUGCAAACUGCGAAUACCGGAGAAUGUUAUCACGGGAGACACACGGCGGGUGCUAACGUCCGUCGUGAAGAGGGAAACAACCCAGACCGCCAGCUAAGGUCCCAAAGUCAUGGUUAAGUGGGAAACGAUGUGGGAAGGCCCAGACAGCCAGGAUGUUGGCUUAGAAGCAGCCAUCAUUUAAAGAAAGCGUAAUAGCUCACUGGUCGAGUCGGCCUGCGCGGAAGAUGUAACGGGGCUAAACCAUGCACCGAAGCUGCGGCAGCGACACUGUGUGUUGUUGGGUAGGGGAGCGUUCUGUAAGCCUGCGAAGGUGGCCUGUGAGGGUUGCUGGAGGUAUCAGAAGUGCGAAUGCUGACAUAAGUAACGAUAAAGCGGGUGAAAAGCCCGCUCGCCGGAAGACCAAGGGUUCCUGUCCAACGUUAAUCGGGGCAGGGUGAGUCGACCCCUAAGGCGAGGCCGAAAGGCGUAGUCGAUGGGAAACGGGUUAAUAUUCCCGUACUUGGUGUUACUGCGAAGGGGGGACGGAGAAGGCUAUGUUGGCCGGGCGACGGUU
rnacentral:rRNA from 1 species